ACAUGACAUGUAUUUACAAAUUAUUUAUACCAGUAAGAAUAUGAACUGGGAUAGGAGACCAGAGUUCUGACUUAGGAAUGUAAAUUAGGUUAAGCUAAUUAUCCCCCGGGGUCCUUUAUUCUUAUCCCAGGACACUAACCUUGGACAUUACAAGAGAAAGGCUAGUUUCCCCAACCCCCAUGUUAAUACAAACUUAAAGCAAAAGUUAU